UUAGAAUCGUCCCAGUGAACCAAGCACCAAACCAGCGAUGUCCAGUAGAAUGUGUUCAGAACGUCCAGCUCCCUGUCCUGGAGAUGUCUGUGGCAGACUGUGGCUCUCGGUCCCUAAGCAUGCUGGGAGAACUGGUCCAGGAAGUGCAGGUGGAACGAGCCGAGGCAUGCCAGGACCUUCUCUAGUGUGGCAGAGGGGGUCAGCACGCACAGUCUGGGAGGGAUGACGCACAAACAAACAUUUUAAUGUACUAAUCUCACACACCACAAAAAUCUGAGAGGGCAAAUCGUAGGCCCCCAUGUCCAUAACUUUUUUUGCGUUUUUCAAACAAUCAUUAAGCUGAAUUAUAUGUAAAAAAUUUAAAUAAUACUUUUAUUUUUCUGUAUAUAUAAGCAUAGCUCUUGUGCUCUCUGUAUUGUGGUGAAUUGUUUUGUUUUUUAAGAAACUAAACAUAAAAUCUAGGUAAAGAAUGAAA